rnacentral:rRNA from 1 species
AAUAGAUACCCAGGUAGUCCACGCCGUAAACGAUGAGUGCUAAGUGUUAGGGGGUUUCCGCCCCUUAGUGGCUGCAGCUAACGCAUUAAGCACUCCGCCUGGGGAGUACGGUCGCAAGACUGAAACUCAAAGGAAUUGACGGGGGCCCGCACAAGCGGUGGAGCAUGUGGUUUAAUUCGAAGCAACGCGAAGAACCUUACCAGGUCUUGACAUCCCAUUGGCCACUAUGGAGACAUAGUUUUCCCUUCGGGGACAACGGUGACAGGUGGUGCAUGGUUGUCGUCAGCUCGUGUCGUGAGAUGUUGGGUUAAGCCCCGCAACGAGCGCAACCCUUGUUCUUAGUUGCCAUCAUUUAGUUGGGCACUCUAAGGAGACUGCCGGUGACAAACCGGAGGAAGGUGGGGAUGACGUCAAAUCAUCAUGCCCCUUAUGACCUGGGCUACACACGUGCUACAAUGGACGGUACAAACGGUUGCCAACCCGCGAGGGGGAGCUAAUCCGAUAAAACCGUUCUCAGUUCGGAUUGUAGGCUGCAACUCGCCUACAUGAAC